GUGUCAGCAGCCGCGGUAAUACGGAGGAUCCGAGCGUUAUCCGGAUUUAUUGGGUUUAAAGGGUGCGUAGGUGGAUUGAUAAGUCAGUGGUGAAAGUUUGCAGCUUAACUGUAAAAUUGCCGUUGAAACUGUCGGUCUUGAGUGCAAAUAAGGUAGGCGGAAUGUGUUGUGUAGCGGUGAAAUGCAUAGAUAUGACACAGAACUCCGAUUGCGAAGGCAGCUUACCGGGAUGCAACUGACACUGAGGCACGAAAGCGUGGGUAUCAAACAGGAUUAGAUACCCCCGUAGUCC
rnacentral:rRNA from 1 species